rnacentral:rRNA from 1 species
AUACGGAGGAUCCGAGCGUUAUCCGGAUUUAUUGGGUUUAAAGGGUGCGUAGGUGGUUUGAUAAGUCAGCGGUGAAAGUUUGCAGCUUAACUGUAAAAAUGCCGUUGAAACUGUCGGACUUGAGUGUAAAUGAGGUAGGCGGAAUGCGUGGUGUAGCGGUGAAAUGCAUAGAUAUCACGCAGAACUCCGAUUGCGAAGGCAGCAUACGAAGCUACAACUGACCCUGAAGCACGUAAGCGUGGGGAUCAAACAGUAUGAGAUACCCUUGUAGUCCACGCAGUAAACGAUGAUUACUAGCUGUUUGCGAUACACAGUAAGCGGCACAGCGAAAGCGUUAAGUAAUCCACCUGGGGAGUUCGCCGUCAACGGUGAAACUCAAAUGAAUUGACGGGG